ensembl:rRNA 5S_rRNA 5S ribosomal RNA
GUCUACUGCCAUACCACCCUCAAAGCACCCAAUCUCAUCUGAUCUUGGAAGAAGAGCAGGGUCAGGUCUGGUUAGUACUUGGCUGGGAGAAAAGUGCUGAGGUGGGCA